CCAACUCACUUUUCUAUUGCCAGUGGAGAGAAACAGGUUCUGAAUAUAAUCUUCAGUGCAAUUAUGAACAGCACCACUGCAAGCUUUGGAAGGAUUGGACUUUUUGGAAGUCAGGGUCAUGUUCUCAACAUUCCCUUGGCAGUGAUACUUAAAAUCUAAUACAACAUCACUAAUGGCUGAGGAUUGAGAAACUGAGGUUUUUUUUUUUAUUAUUUUUUUAUUUUUUAAUUGAAUGUGUUUUAUAACCUGCUUUUAGCUUUUUUGUGUUUUGUAUUUUUUUUUCUCCUUUGCUUUUGAGUUGUGUAUUAACCAAUUUUUUCAUUCAUUAUCAUGUAAAUGCCAAAUCAUUUAUGAUAUAGAUACGAUUGAUUAAUAAUCCUAAGGGCUCUCUCUCCCUCCUUUUGAGAACUACAGCAAGAACUGUAGUUCUUUAAUUUCUUGAAGAUGUCUGUAAAAUUUAACAAUUUUAUUGAGUUUGUUUUAAUAUUUUUUUAUAUGUAUACUUGAAAUUUUUUGAAGUUUGAAUCUUUAUGUAUUAUGAGAG
rnacentral:misc_RNA from 1 species